AUUGAACGCUGGCGGCAGGCCUAACACAUGCAAGUCGAACGAGUGGCGGACGGGUGAGUAAUGUCUGGGAAACUGGCCGAUGGAGGGGGAUAACUGCUGGAAACGGUAGCUAAUAACGCGUACCAUCGGACGUGCGCCGAUGGGAUUAGCUAGUGGGGGGGGUAACGGCUCACCUAGGCGACGAUCCCUAGCUGGUCUGAGAGGAUGACCAGCCACACUGGAACUGAGACACGGUCCAGACUCCUACGGGAGGCAGCAGUGGGGAAUAUUGCACAAUGGGCGCAAGCCUGAUGCAGCCAUGCCGCGUGUAUGAAGAAGGCCUUCGGGUUGUAAAGUACUUUAAGCGAGGAGGCGUUACUCGCAGAAGAAGCACCGGCUAACUCCGUGCCAGCAGCCGCGGUAAUAC
rnacentral:rRNA from 1 species